AUCUAGCUGACGAAUCCCAAAUGGGACGAAACGCGCGUCCUGGAU
rfam:Schistosoma mansoni, Puerto Rico, WGS project CABG01000000 data, contig: 0210